rnacentral:rRNA from 1 species
GGACGCACAGUUUAUACCGUAGCUUGCUACACCAUAGACUGUGAGUUGCGAACGGGUGAGUAACGCGUAGGUAACCUGCCUAUUAGAGGGGGAUAACUAUUGGAAACGAUAGCUAAUACCGCAUAACAGUAUGUAACACAUGUUAGAUGCUUGAAAGAUGCAAUUGCAUCGCUAGUAGAUGGACCUGCGUUGUAUUAGCUAGUAGGUAGGGUAAAGGCCUACCUAGGCAACGAUACAUAGCCGACCUGAGAGGGUGAUCGGCCACACUGGGACUGAGACACGGCCCAGACUCCUACGGGAGGCAGCAGUAGGGAAUCUUCGGCAAUGGGGGGAACCCUGACCGAGCAACGCCGCGUGAGUGAAGAAGGUUUUCGGAUCGUAAAGCUCUGUUGUUAAGGAAGAACGAGUGUGAGAAUGGAAAGUUCAUGCUGUGACGGUACUUAACCAGAAAGGGACGGCUAACUACGUGCCAGCAGCCGCGGUAAUACGUAGGUCCCGAGCGUUGUCCGGAUUUAUUGGGCGUAAAGCGAGCGCAGGCGGUUAGAAAAGUCUGAAGUGAAAGGCAGUGGCUCAACCAUUGUAGGCUUUGGAAACUGUUUAACUUGAGUGCAGAAGGGGAGAGUGGAAUUCCAUGUGUAGCGGUGAAAUGCGUAGAUAUAUGGAGGAACACCGGUGGCGAAAGCGGCUCUCUGGUCUGUAACUGACGCU